rnacentral:tRNA from 1 species
GCCUGGGUGGCUCAGUCGGUUGAGCAUCUGACUUCAGCUCAGGUCAUGAUCUCACAGUUCGUGGGUUCGUGCCCCGCAUCAGGCU